UCGCAUGCCAGUGAUGCGCCGUGUUUGCGCACUUCUCGCUUUCUUAUCAUAUACUGUCCCGUCGUUGUUUACGCAGUUUUGGCAUGCACUAUCGAUGGAUUGAAACCAGUUUCGUGCCGGUCACUGCUUAAUUCAGUUGUGUUUAGAGACUUAUAUCGUUAAUUCGGACUUCAAUAUUCUAAAUUUGUGUUAUACUCAAAGAUCAGUCGACUAUUUAUUUGUACUUUGCGACUAUAGUAAUUUGUAUAAUGUUCGGAAAUGCCGGUUUUUGAUCGCGUUUGUUAUGUAUAUUACAAGACACGUGAUAGUGGAUUUGAUAACAUUCUUCACUCGGCGUUGUGUUUGGUGUUAGUUACUAAAUUAAUCGGAUAUGUAUCACCACCAUGUUGAUUCUCAUCAUUAAGAAAGAUCCAUCAGGCUGGUGUAGUUACAUCACUCGUUGUGCCUGGAAGUCCGAUAAGCUGUACACUGUAUUCGCCGUACCUUGGAGUCAGAUGAAUUCUGCAUUAAAAUUAACAUAAACGUUAAUAUUAAUGAUGCAACACGCCCUUCUAGGAGUCAUUACUACCGCUACCCUCCUACGGUGCCCUGAAUGGGAGUCACUUCUACCGCUACCUUCGUGCGGUGCCCUGAAUGUGAGUCUUUAUGGAUCCGUUGUUGGAUGAAACAUUGGCUAUUCCUGAAAUGGCCAACUUUAUCAAUAAGCACCAACUGGAGAGCUUCCGUGGUACUGGUGGAGUGCGUAUUGAAGAUGAUGUUUUGAUUACUGAAGAUGGAUAUGUCAAUUGGACUAAAAUACCAAGAACUGUCCAAGAAAAUGAAGAUUGAUGUUGAUGAUGAUUCGAAAUACGAUGGAAUGAAUUUACAACAUUUUGAAGCUGAUAUUGAUAUAAUUUUUGUAUAUAUUGAGAAAUUGAGUUUGUGAUGGGUGUAUAUUCUACAUGUUUGAAUUAAAUUGUAGUUUUAUACUUUUA